AGUGAACGCUGGCGGUAGGCCUAACACAUGCAAGUCGAACGGCAGCACAGGAGAGCUUGCUCUCUGGGUGGCGAGUGGCGGACGGGUGAGGAAUACAUCGGAAUCUACUUAUUCGUGGGGGAUAACGUAGGGAAACUUACGCUAAUACCGCAUACGACCUACGGGUGAAAGCAGGGGACCUUCGGGCCUUGCGCGAUUGAAUGAGCCGAUGUCGGGUUAGCUAGUUGGCGGGGUAAAGGCCCACCAAGGCGACGAUCCGUAGCUGGUCUGAGGGGAUGAUCAGCCACACUGGAACUGAGACACGGUCCAGACUCCUACGGGAGGCAGCAGUGGGGAAUAUUGGACAAUGGGCGCAAGCCUGAUCCAGCCAUACCGCGUGGGUGAAGAAGGCCUUCGGGUUGUAAAGCCCUUUUGUUGGGAAAGAAAUCCAGCUGGCUAAUACCCGGUUGGGAUGACGGUACCCAAAGAAUAAGCACCGGCUAACUUCGUGCCAGCCGCCGCAGUAA
rnacentral:rRNA from 1 species